CUAGCUUAAAAUAGAUCAACGAAAGAGAAAACUUACUGCACUGGCACUCCUCAUUGAUGACGAGGAGUGCAGGCACAUGAAACACCGAGAUAAGAUGUGGGCAAAAGAACGGAUAUUGAAGAAGCGUCAUGGAAUGCAAAACUGUCUCGUCCCAGAUCUCCGUGCGGACGACCCAAACACCUAUCGGAGUAUUUCGAGAAUGGACGCUAAGACAUUUGAUGUUAUACUCCACAAAUUACAGAAGCGUAUCUCGAAGUUGGACACGAAUAUGCGUGAUAGUGUGCCGGCAAGUGACCGGCUGACGAUGACGCUGCGAUAUCUGGCUACAGGCAUGCAUCUAUGCAUUGGACAAUUGUUCCGAAGCUGCCGCAUUAGCAGAUAUUAUACAGGUGUGUUGUAUCAUUUUCAUGGGAAAGCCAAGCAUCGUUGGCGUUCCAGUUCCGAAUGGGCCACAGUACAAUGAACACCAUUCUAUGGGACACAUGCCAGGCAAUUCUAGCCGAAUUUGGACAUUUGAUACAGCUACCAAGAAGCGAACAGGAGUGGCUGGACAAAGCCCAGGACUUCCAAAUGUUGUGGCAGUUUCCUAACUGUGUGGCAGCCAUGGACGGCAAACAUGUCGAAAUCGUAAAACCUGGAAAAAGCGGAUCGCUGUACUGCAGCUACAAGAAGUCGUUCAGUAUGAUACUUUUCGCACUCGUCGAUGCGCGGCAGAACAUAUUGUAUGCUCACAUUGGUACACCAGGCUGUGCACGUGAUGGUGGCGUCUGGGCAAGAACGCCAUUUGGAAGGCAGGUUUCCAACGGCACCGCAAACCUGCCUACAAGUGUGAAGCUCACCAACUCAUCCCUGUGUUUGCCAGCCGUGAUAGUAGCUGAUGACGCCUUCCCGUUGUCCGAAAAUGUCAUGAAGCCCUACCCUGGGCUGUCCCUCAACCCGGAAGAGAGGACCUUCAACUAUAGGCUAUCAAGAGCACGGAUCAUUAUAGAGAGUACAUUUGGAGUGCUUUCAAAUCGUUUCAGGAUUUUUCAUACGAAAAAUCCUGAGAAAAUGUCCUUGAAAGUGUUCCCCAGAGAAUGUGUCCUUGCUCAUACAAACAGUUUGCGUUCUCCAUAACUUGCUCAAGCAGUAUGACCCUUCCUUCACGCGAACUGCAGAAGCUAACUGCGUCACCCAAUCAAGGGCAUUUGAUAUGCCUCCAACGCGCGCACGAUAUUCAUCGCGCGGAGCCUUUGUGCGCGACACUCUGAGGACUUACUUCAGCACAAAUGGAUCUCUGCAGCAAUGAUGGAACCUGUUUUGAGUUUGUGUUAUUUUUUUAACAUUAAAAUGUGUACCUUUUGGCUA